CUGAACACCGGCACGCUCACCAUGCUGCGGUCCUCCUGCAUGGUGAAGGGGUUCACGCAGCCCAGACACAGGCACCGCGCCUCGGGCAGGCACAUCACAUCAGGAAAGCCUGUGGCUCUCAGGGAAAGACCAGGCUGCCCAGGAGGUCAAGGGAAGAGGACCCACCAGUACCUGCCGGGUAGGAGGCAGAGCUGGCCAGACAAACUUCCAGAUGGGAAACUGAGGCUGGAGCACAGGGAUCUGCACAGUGGUGACAGACCUAGGGAUGGUGCCUGGUUCCCAUCCAGAACUUCAUCUGCCGCCCCACACUGUUUGUCUUGGGACGUUUCCUGCACAAAGCCAGCCUGCUGUGAAGCUGUGAGUGUCACAUGAGCCAAACUGCAGGUCCAGAAGGACAUCAUGGCUGACAGAUCUGGCCUUCCUGGAACAGUGUGCUCUCCUAUAUAUACGAGGUGUGCCCUCCCGGGGCCUGGCCCCUAGGUGCUGCUUGUGACCUUCCUUCUCUUUCAAUCUCAGUUUCCCUCUCUGUAAAAUGGGAGCCACGCCCACAGACAAUCGCCCAGCCCAUUGCUGCAGAAGUCUGUCUGAGCCUUGGGUCUCAUACCUCUAGAACAGAAAUAAUCAUUCUAUCUGCCCCUCAAAGCUGCUAGAAGGAAUAAAGGAAAUACUCAUGCUAAAUAGCUGGCAUAGUGCCUGACACAUAAUAAGUGCUCAAUAAAUAUUUUGCUGUUUAUUAUAAACACUAUGAUAAAAUUAUUUUAUACCUGUGAUUACAAACAUUAGCCAUUCUGACUUGCAUUGGCACUAGCAUGGUUCUCAUCCCUCAGCCAAAUGCCCUCUCCGCCCGUCACGCCCACCCUCCUGGCUGAGAGUUCCAGUCUCUCCAGACUCAGGCCAC